rnacentral:rRNA from 1 species
AACACAUGCAAGUCGAGGGGCGAACAGGGAGUAGCAAUACUCUGCUGACGACCGGCGCACGGUGCGUAACGCGUAUGCAACCUACCCUGUACAGGGGGAUAACGGAGAGAAAUUUCCACUAAUAUCCCAUGGUGUCGGAGAACCGCAUGGUUUUCGGACUAAAGCUUCGGUGGUACAGGACGGGCAUGCGUGACAUUAGGUAGUUGGCGGGGCAACGGCCCACCAAGCCGACGAUGUCUAGGGGAGCUGAGAGGCUUAUCCCCCACACCGGUACUGAGACACGGACCAGACUCCUACGGGAGGCAGCAGUGAGGAAUAUUGGUCAAUGGGAGGAAUCCUGAACCAGCCAUGCCGCCGGUGGGGGAAGAAGGUCCUAUGGGUUGUAAACCCCUUUUACGCCGGAGUAAUAAGAGCCUUGCGAGGCUCGAUGAGAGUACGGCGGGAAUAAGCAUCGGCUAACUCCGUGCCAGCCGCAGC